rnacentral:tRNA from 1 species
GCCACGAUCGCGUAACCUGGUAUCGCACAAGCCUGGAAAGCUUGACCCAUCUGGGUAUCUCGGUUCAAAUCCGAGUCGUGGCG